rnacentral:rRNA from 1 species
CUACGGGCGGCAGCAGUGGGGAAUAUUGGACAAUGGGCGAAAGCCUGAUCCAGCCAUGCCGCGUGUGUGAAGAAGGCCUUCGGGUUGUAAAGCACUUUCAGUGGGGAAGAAAGCCUUGGGGCUAAUACCCUCGAGGAAGGACAUCACCCACAGAAGAAGCACCGGCUAACUCCGUGCCAGCAGCCGCGGUAAUACGGAGGGUGCGAGCGUUAAUCGGAAUUACUGGGCGUAAAGCGCGCGUAGGCGGUCUGAUAAGCCGGUUGUGAAAGCCCCGGGCUCAACCUGGGAACGGCAUCCGGAACUGUCAGGCUAGAGUGCAGGAGAGGAAGGUAGAAUUCCCGGUGUAGCGGUGAAAUGCGUAGAGAUCGGGAGGAAUACCAGUGGCGAAGGCGGCCUUCUGGACUGACACUGACGCUGAGGUGCGAAAGCGUGGGUAGCAAACAGGAUUAGAUACCCGGUAGUC